CCCCCAAAAAUAUAACUUAAUAAUAUAAGUAACAAAAAAAAAUUAAAAAUAAUAAAAUCUGUACAUGAACUACACUUAACAACUUAAAAAGACUUACUUUCUAGAAUGGAAUUUCAGUAGACCUUCUUCUAUUCACUCCUUGUACGACUCAAUAAAUUGACUUGGCAUAUCGUCAGAUGUUAAGAAUAUUUGUAUUUCAAAUUUGUGGUCGUCUCAUUCAUAUUGCCUUUUGAACCAGAUUCAAAUUCUGAUGAUUUGUAUAUCCUCGAUUUAUGUCUAGUCCUUUGAGCCGGCAUUUUUGCAGCUUGAUGUUUCGCCACAGUCGUAUCAGAAAAAUGGAGAGAAAACUGACUAUCGGGGAUAAAAUGUUGACUAGACUUUGAUUUUGGAGGACUAACAGAUUUCAAAGGAAGCACAUCCAUAGGUGCUGUCAAUCCAA
rnacentral:lncRNA from 1 species